rnacentral:rRNA from 1 species
CCAUGUCCAGGCUGAAGCUGCCGUAAGAGGUAGUGGAGGGCCGAACGCACAUCCGUUGAAAAGGGUGGCGAUGAGGUGUGGGUAGGGGAGAAAUUCCAAUCGAACCCGGAGAUAGCUGGUUCUCCUCGAAAUAGCUUUAGGGCUAGCCUCGAUGGAGUCUUACGGAGGUAGAGCACUGAAUUUCUAAGGGGGCGUCAAAGCUUACCAAGGGAUAUCAAACUCCGAAUGCCGUAAAGAUGCUCAUCGGGAGUCAGACUGCACGAGAUAAGUUGGGCAGUCAAAAGGGAAAGAGCCCAGACCUGCUGCUAAGGUCCCAAAGUACGUGUUAAGUGGAAAAGGAUGUGGGAUUUCGAAGACAACUAGGAUGUUGGCUCAGAAGCAGCCACACAUUCAAAGAGUGCGUAAUAGCUCACUAGUCGAGAGGUCCUGCGCCGAAAAUGUCCGGGGCUGAAACACGACACCGAAGCACAGGAUACCGUAUGGUAUGGUAGAGGAGCAUUGCUGGCGCGAUGAAGCAGUACCGGAAGGAGCUGUGGAGUGCCAGGAAGAGAGAAUGCCGGAAUGAGUAGCGAGAGAGAGGUGGGAAUCCUCUCGGCCGAAUAUCCAAGGUUUCCAGGGUAAAGCUGAUCUGCCUGGGUAAGUCGGGGCCUAAGGAGAGGCAGAAAUGCGUAUCCGAUGGACAGCAGGUUGAGAUUCCUGCACUAUCUAAAACAGAACUGUGGGGACAUUUGUGGAGAGCACAGGCGCGGAACGGAAAGCCGCGUGCAAGCGAAGGAGGAGUCACAUAGGAAAAACCGUGUGGCAAUCCAAAGGCGUGAUGCGGACCGAACUAAAGUAGGGAAGUGUGUGAGCAUGAAUCAAGAAAAGCCGCUAUUGUUUUUAAGAUACCCGUACCGUAAACCGACACAGGUGGAUGAGGAGAGAAUCCUAAGGCCGGCGGAAGAAGCAUUGUUAAGGAACUCGGCAAAAUGACCCCGUAACUUCGGGAGAAGGGGUGCCAACGAGAGUUGGCCGCAGAGAAUAGGCUCAAGCAACUGUUUAGCAAAAACACAGGUCUAUGCAAAACCGUAAGGUGAGGUAUAUGCUGACGCCUGCCCGGUGCUGGAAGGUUAAGAGGAGAGGUUAGCGCAAGCGAAGCUUUGAAUUUAAGCCCCAGUAAACGGCGGCCGUAACUAUAACGGUCCUAAGGUAGCGAAAUUCCUUGUCGGGUAAGUUCCGACCCGCACGAAAGGCGUAAUGAUUUGAGCGCUGUCUCGACAAUGCAUCCGGUGAAAUUGAAGUACCAGUGAAGAUGCUGGUUACCCGCGCCAGGACGGAAAGACCCCAUGGAGCUUUACUCCAGUUUGGUACUGGGGUCCGGCAGUGCAUGUACAGGAUAGGUGGGAGGCUGUGAACCUGGAACGCCAGUUUCAGGGGAGCCGGUGUUGGGAUACCACCCUUGUGCUGCUGGGCUUCUAACCAGCGGCCUUUAUCAGGCCGGGGGACAAUGCCAGACGGGGAGUUUGACUGGGGCGGUCGCCUCCGAAAGGGUAUCGGAGGCGCUCAAAGGUUCCCUCAGAAUGGUCGGAAACCAUUCGAAGAGUGCAAAGGCAGAAGGGAGCUUGACUGCGACACCGACGGGUGGAGCAGGUACGAAAGUAGGACUUAGUGAUCCGGUGGUAUUAAGUGGGAAUGCCAUCGCUCAACGGAUAAAAGCUACCCUGGGGAUAACAGGCUUAUCACUCCCAAGAGUUCACAUCGACGGAGUGGUUUGGCACCUCGAUGUCGGCUCAUCGCAUCCUGGGGCUGUAGUAGGUCCCAAGGGUUGGGCUGUUCGCCCAUUAAAGCGGUACGCGAGCUGGGUUCAGAACGUCGUGAGACAGUUCGGUCCCUAUCCGGCGUGGGCGUAGGAUAUUUGAGAGGAGCUGUCCUUAGUACGAGAGGACCGGGAUGGACUGACCUCUGGUGUACCGGUUGAACCGCCAGGUUCACGGCCGGGUAGCCAAGUCGGGAAGGGAUAAACGCUGAAGGCAUCUAAGCGUGAAGCCCCCCUCAAGAUGAGAUAUCCCAUUCGAAAGAAGUAAGACCCCUUGAAGACGACGAGGUAGAUAGGGCAG